GGGUGCGAUCAUACCAGCAAUAAUGCACCGGAUCCCAUCAGAACUCCGAAGUUAAGCUUGCUUGGGCCGAGAGCAGUACUAGGAUGGUGACCUCCUGGGAAGUCCUCGUGUUGCACCCCUC
rnacentral:rRNA from 1 species